rnacentral:rRNA from 1 species
UACGAAGGGGGCUAGCGUUGCUCGGAAUGACUGGGCGUAAAGGGCGCGUAGGCGGCACACACAGUCAGACGUGAAAUUCCUGGGCUUAACCUGGGGGCUGCGUUUGAUACAUGUGAGCUAGAGGAUGGAAGAGGCUCGUGGAAUUCCCAGUGUAGAGGUGAAAUUCGUAGAUAUUGGGAAGAACACCGGUGGCGAAGGCGGCGAGCUGGUCCAUUACUGACGCUGAGGCGCGAAAGCGUGGGGAGCAAACAG